UACGGAGGAUCCAAGCGUUAUCCGGAUUUAUUGGGUUUAAAGGGUGCGUAGGCGGGCAGGUAAGUCCGUGGUGAAAUCUCUGAGCUUAACUCAGAAACUGCCAUGGAUACUAUUUGUCUUGAAUAUUGUGGAGGUAAGCGGAAUAUGUCAUGUAGCGGUGAAAUGCUUAGAUAUGACAUAGAACACCAAUUGCGAAGGCAGCUUACUACACAGUUAUUGACGCUGAGGCACGAAAGCGUGGGGAUCAAACAGG
rnacentral:rRNA from 1 species